UGAGGUGUGGCUCAGUGGUAGAGCACUUGCCUCACAUGUAUGAGGCACUGGGUCCUAUUCUCAGCACCACAU
rnacentral:tRNA from 1 species